AGUCCGAGAUGAGCUGAUAGGAGAGGAUGUCUGAACAGGCUGGAAAGCUAAGUCACAAGGCAUGGCAACAUGAAGAACACAUAAGAAACAUCAAGUUAAAACCAUAAAAAUAAUUUGCCAGUUUAUCAUCUACAUAUUAUAAGACAACAGAAUCUGAAGCUAUUUCUCUC